rnacentral:misc_RNA from 1 species
UGAUCAUUAUCAUCAUUUCAAUGUUUCGACUUUUUGUGACUUUUAAAUUUUUUUUUUAAAUUAUAAAUUCUAUCUUAUUCAUAUAAUUUUUAAUUAAAAUAUGAGUAUGUUCUACAUUAACUAUAAUCAGUCUUCACAUUUUAUAUUUUUUUAUGUAAAUUAAGAAAAUUAAGCAAAUCAAAUUUAAAUCCGGGUGAUUUAUAAUUUUGAAAACAUUAAAAUUAGAAAUAUAAAUUUGACACAUUCAAAUCUUCGUAUUUCUUUUGUUAAAGAGAGAAAGGAAGAUUGCCAGGUUACAGAAGGGAAUGAUUCACACACGAAGGGAAUAUAGAAAGAAAAGAUAAAGUCAAAAGCGCUUAUAAUGAUUAUAAAUUGUGCGCGCAAAGUGAUCAUUGCACCACCAAAUGCAAGGGCAUUUUUGCAAGGGCAUUUUGGUCCUAUAAAUUUCCAUAAAACGACAAAACAUUUAAAUCUAUUGUGUUUGUGUUUAUCUGUCUUCCAAUUCCAGAAAAAGUAUUGUGCACACACAAGCUGUCGAUUCUGAUUUCUGAUUCUGUGUCUUCUGUCAUGAUUCAUGUGAUCAGACAGUGGAGGUCAAGGUUCGA